GCGAGAGUGGCGGAACCGGCAGACGCGCUGGACUUAGGAUCCAGUGGGGCAACCCGUGGGGGUUCAACUCCCCCCUUUCGCACCA
rnacentral:tRNA from 2 species